GUUUUUGAGGUUUAAAAAUCCUCGCAAUCUGAUAUCUAAGUGCUCUCUGUGCAAAGGCUUAGUGCGUUCAUCAGUGGUGAGUUUAACAACACUCAACUGCAGGUAAAACAGCAUUCAGCGGUGAGUUUGACCAAAGCAACGCUCCACUGCAGGAAAAACGGCAUUAAAAGGUGAGUUUAACAACGCUCCAAGACGCGUGCAAGUAAGCAGUUUAACCGUUUUCUUACAACCCAUUCUCGCUUAUCGCUUAUUCAUAGUUUAUCACUAUGAAAUCACGUUCAAGAAGUCUCAUUCAGCACACAUCGCGAUACUUGCCAUCAGUUUACAUGUGCCACAGGUUCGCUGAAAAGAUGUAAAGGAAGCAGUCAUCCCUGUGGUGUUUGUGGAGAGGUAUUCCUUCAGAAAUGGAGAAGACAGAAAGCUGCGGAGGCAGACAUUUGCAGCAGAUAGUUUGCAGAUAAUGCUGUUCUUCUUUUUCAGAAGUUUUUUGUGAGCCAACCCUCACAAACCUUCCUAAAAACUAAAAGAGCUAUUACUGAGUCUCAGCGAAUCUUGCCAUAUCAGCUCUUCCCAGGUACAUCUGUUUAGAAUAUUUUUGAAUCAACAUUUACUCAUCAAAUGCUCUGGUCUGAAUCUUAUUUUAAAUUAACUUAAUUAUAUGUUUAAUGAGCAAUAUUAAUUGCACACAGAGUAAGUAGAGAUUAUCUUGUUUUUCAGAAGAUAAGGAAGACCAAGGAAAUUAUUUGCUCAGAAUGAGGAAUGAAGAUGGGCAUCUUGUGCUCAAACAAA